CCGACAUUGCCGCUUGUGUAACUGUCAUUGGAUGGGAUUUUGAAUGUUAAUGCCUGACUGGGUACAUACACUGUCCAUCAAAUGAAACCGGAAGAAAGGUUACAUAUCAAAACAAUGUGUAAGGAAGUAUAGUGGUGUGUCCUUACCGAGCUGUUACGCCAUGCCAACUUCCCCGGUAAAGACUCGGAUCCCGCUCACGAGCUUCGGUCAUCUGAUCACCGAGGUGAAGAGACAGUUGUUUGGUAUGGAGGCUCCAGCUACUGUUAACCUGACUGGCUGGAGGAGACAUUUCAACAGCUACACACUACAGGGCCGACGCAACUUUGUCCUGGCUACCUAUGGUGUCCUAGCGUUGUCAGCAGCAGCCUAUAUGAUACACAAACGGAGUAAAGAGGACCCCAGAGUAGCCAGCCCCACUGCCUGACUGACACCCUCUCUCAAUGUCCAACGCUUUAUUGACCUGAUAUUCACAUUGUUUUCCAAUACUACCAAAUCAGAGAUUCAUAACAGCAGCGCUCUCCCUCUCUUCCGCUCUCUCUCUCUCCCUCCCUCUCUCCCUCCCUCUCUUCCGCUCCCUCCCUCCCUCUCGCUCUCUCUCUCAAUGUUAAUAAAUAGAAUUUAAUCCAGUCACGAUGUCUCUGUGUCGUCUUGGUUUAAUCUCUAACCCAGAAUAGAACAGAGCAGAAUCCAUUCUGGUAUUCAGACUAACCGGUAACCAUGACAACACCCUACUGGGAGCUCCAGGCUGUAGCGUGUAUGUCUGGCCACAGGGUGGCGCUGGGGAGAG
rnacentral:lncRNA from 1 species